rnacentral:rRNA from 1 species
UACGUAGGUGGCAAGCGUUGUCCGGAAUUAUUGGGCGUAAAGCGCGCGCAGGCGGUUUCUUAAGUCUGAUGUGAAAGCCCACGGCUCAACCGUGGAGGGUCAUUGGAAACUGGGGAACUUGAGUGCAGGAGAGAAGAGUGGAAUUCCACGUGUAGCAGUGAAAUGCGUAGAGAUGUGGAGGCACACCGAUGGCGAAGGCAGCCCCCUGGGCUAAGAUUGACGCUCAUGCACGAAAGCGUGGGGAGCAAACAGG